rnacentral:lncRNA from 1 species
UCAUGCCGAUGACAUAGGGAAAGACCUCUUCGGAUUGAGAGGAGAACAACCAAUAGAGCAGCAUCUGGUCUUUUUAAAACCAGGUUUCAUAAUCUGGGUUGGGGAUGAUUUCAUCGAGUUUAUCAGGAUUGUUUGUAGUUUCCGAUGGAACAGGUGAAGUGCCAUCAACGUAUCCCAUCAGUUUUUGGUCAUUUAGAAGGGGGAGGAACUGUGUUUUUCAGGCAAGAUCAUUCUU